rnacentral:rRNA from 1 species
AAUAGAUACCCUGGUAGUCCACGCCGUAAACGAUGUGUGCUAGAAGUCGGGAUAACUCGGUUUCGAAGCUAACGCAUUAAGCACACCGCCUGGGGAGUACGGUCGCAAGGCUGAAACUCAAAAGAAAUUGACGGGGACCCGCACAAGUGGUGGAGCAUGUGGUUUAAUUCGAUGCAACGCGAUGAACCUUACCAAGACUUGACAUACUCGGCAAAGCUAUAGAGAUAUAGUGGAGGUUAUCCGAUGUACAGGUGGUGCAUGGUUGUCGUCAGCUCGUGUCGUGAGAUGUUGGGUUAAGUCCCGCAACGAGCGCAACCCCUAUCUUUAUUUGCUAACAUUAAGUUGAGGACUAUAGAGAGACUGCCUACGCAAGUAGGAGGAAGGUGGGGAUGACGUCAAAUCAUCAUGCCCCUUAUGUCUUGGGCUACACACGUGCUACAAUGGCCGGUACAAAGGGCUGCAAACUGGUGACAGUAAGCGAAUCCCAUAAAGCCGGUCUAAGUUCGGAUUGAAGU